GAGCAUGUGGCUGCUUUGAAGUACCUGGGGCAAAAUCUCAAUCAAGAAUCUGCUAUUCCCCUCCCUCUCUGCAAGUGAUUUCUGUUAUGGAUACCAGGCAGCACCCACUUUCAGCAGUGAGCUGAGCACAAUACCCUCCAGCAUCUCCUUGAUGAAUCCAGAGAACAAGAAGCUUUUCCACUUCACCAGGAUUUCUGAUCCAAAUAAUGCUCCAACAGUCACAAGCGGGGUGUUAUAAGAGCAUCACCAAAGAAAAUGUCUUCCAAAUAGUGAUCAGGUUCUGUGUUACUUCCCACCCUUUCAGAGCUAAAGAUAACGUUCUCC
ensembl:lncRNA